GACGAACGCUGGCGGCGUGCUUAACACAUGCAAGUCGAACGGAGUGGCGAACGGGUGAGUACCACGUGGGUGAUCUGCCUUGCACUUCGGGUUAAGCUUGGGAAACUGGGUCUAAUACCGGAUAGUCCAAGAUGAGCGCGCGGCCUAUCAGCUUGUUGGUGGGGUAAUGGCCUACCAAGGCGUCGACGGGUAGCCGGCCUGAGAGGGGGAACGGCCACAUUGGGACUGAGAUACGGCGCAGACUCGUACGGGAGGCAGCAGGGGGGAGUAUUGCACAAUGGGCGGAAGCCUGAUGCAGCGGCGCCGGGUGGGGAAUGAAGGCCUUCGGGUUGUAAACUCCUUUCGACAGGGACGCGGUACCUGUAUAAGAAGCAACGGCUAACUACGUGCCAGCAGCCGCGGUAAUAC
rnacentral:rRNA from 1 species